UACGGAAGAUCAUAUGUACCCCGUAAUAAAUCUGUAGCAUGUACAUAUUUACUGGAUAAUUAUUAUUCGAGCUUAUGCUAAUAUGUACUUAAUUUGCUGCGGUGAAACAAAUUUUAAGGAUUCUGAUUUAGGAUUAAUCUUCAAUAAAAAUUAGUCUGGAAUGAAGCAACUUUUUUCGCGUCCGUAUUUAUACAUGUUCACAUAAAGACAUGUCUGAAAUCAUGGACAUCAUGGACAGUGUCAAGCGAGGGCAAAAACCGGGACGAGGGGGGCUACAAAAAAAGGGUCUCCGGCAAAAAGGGGAGCCUUGCGUGAAUCUUUGCUUCUUCCUUCUUCCUAUCCACAACCUGAGACGUAUUAAAAAACUUCAAACCACUUCCUGCCUUCCCCUUUCUGUAAAAUCUCCAGCUUUUGUCUUCUUGCUGCGAA